rnacentral:rRNA from 1 species
AUUGAACGCUAGCGGGAUGCUUUACACAUGCAAGUCGAACGAGUGGCGGACGGGUGAGUAAUAUAUCGGAACGUGCCCAGUAGCGGGGGAUAACUACUGGAAACGGUAGCUAAUACCGCAUACCAUCGGAUGUGCCCAGAUGGGAUUAGCUAGUAGGUGGGGUAAAGGCUCACCUAGGCGACGAUCCCUAGCUGGUCUGAGAGGCUGACCAGCCACACUGGAACUGAGACACGGCCCAGACUCCUACGGGAGGCAGCAGUGGGGAAUUGUGGACAAUGGGGGAAACCCUGAUCCAGCCAUCCCGCGUGUAUGAUGAAGGCCUUCGGGUUGUAAAGUACUUUUGGCAGAGAAGCGGUAUCUGCAGAAUAAGCACCGGCUAACUACGUGCCAGCAGCCGCGGUAAUUC